rnacentral:rRNA from 1 species
AAGCGCCCGCAACCAGACUUUGCGGCAGUGUUCGGCCGGUCUUCUGACCGGUUUACUCGCUGUCGUGAGGCCAUCAUCGUCUGGGACCGCUGGAUAAGACCUUAGGAAUGUGGCUCCCUUCGGGGAGUGUUAUAGCCUCUGGUGAUGCAGCGCGUCUCGGGCGAGGUCCGCGCUUCGGCAAGGAUGAUGGCGUAAUGGUUGUCGGCGG